GACGAACGCUGGCGGCGUGCUUAACACAUGCAAGUCGAACGGAAAGGCCCUGCUUGCAGGGUACUCGAGUGGCGAACGGGUGAGUAACACGUGGGUGAUCUGCCCUGCACUUCGGGAUAAGCCUGGGAAACUGGGUCUAAUACCGGAUAGGACCAUCGUUUAGUGUCGGUGGUGGAAAGUUUUUCGGUGCAGGAUGAGCUCGCGGCCUAUCAGCUUGUUGGUGGGGUAAUGGCCUACCAAGGCGU
rnacentral:rRNA from 1 species